CACGUAGGGGGGCGAGCGUUGUCCGGAUUUAUUGGGCGUAAAGAGCUCGUAGGCGGCUCAGUAAGUCGGGUGUGAAAACUCCAGGCUCAACCUGGAGACGCCACCCGAUACUGCUGUGGCUAGAGUCCGGUAGGGGAGCAUGGAAUUCCUGGUGUAGCGGUGAAAUGCGCAGAUAUCAGGAGGAACACCAGUGGCGAAGGCGGUGCUCUGGGCCGGAACUGACGCUGAGGAGCGAAAGCGUGGGGAGCGAACAGG
rnacentral:rRNA from 1 species